rnacentral:rRNA from 1 species
GAUGAACGCUGGCGGCGUGCUUAACACAUGCAAGUCGAACGGUGAAAGCGGAGCUUGCUCUGCUGGAUCAGUGGCGAACGGGUGAGUAACACGUGAGCAAUCUGCCCUUGACUCUGGGAUAAGCGCUGGAAACGGCGUCUAAUACCGGAUACGAGCUGCGAAGGCAUCUUCAGCAGCUGGAAAGAACUUCGGUCAAGGAUGAGCUCGCGGCCUAUCAGCUUGUUGGUGAGGUAACGGCUCACCAAGGCGUCGACGGGUAGCCGGCCUGAGAGGGUGACCGGCCACACUGGGACUGAGACACGGCCCAGACUCCUACGGGAGGCAGCAGUGGGGAAUAUUGCACAAUGGGCGCAAGCCUGAUGCAGCAACGCCGCGUGAGGGACGACGGCCUUCGGGUUGUAAACCUCUUUUAGCAGGGAAGAAGCGAAAGUGACGGUACCUGCAGAAAAAGCACCGGCUAACUACGUG